GCGCAAGCGAUGCAGCCAUGCCGCGUGUGUGAAGAAGGCCUUCGGGUUGUAAAGCACUUUCUGAAAGGCUUGAAGGUUAGUUGUUAAUAUGGGUUAGCUGUGGCGCUACUUACAGAAGAAGCACCGGCUAACUCCGUGCCAGCAGCCGCGGUAAUACGGAGGGUGCGAGCGUUAAUCGGAAUUACUGGGCGUAAAGCGUACGCAGGCGGUUUGUUAAGCGAGAUGUGAAAGCCCCGGGCUCAACCUGGGAACUGCAUUUCGAACUGGCAAACUAGAGUGUGAUAGAGGGUGGUAGAAUUUCAGGUGUAGCGGUGAAAUGCGUAGAGAUCUGAAGGAAUACCGAUGGCGAAGGCAGCCACCUGGGUCAACACUGACGCUCAUGUACGAAAGCGUGGGGAGCAAACAGGAUUAGAUACCCUGGUAGUCCACGCCGUAAACGAUGUCUACUAGAAGCUCGGUUCCUCGGAACUGUUUUUCAAAGCUAACGCAUUAAGUAGACCGCCUG
rnacentral:rRNA from 1 species